GAUGAACGCUGGCGGCGUGCCUAACACAUGCAAGUCGAACGGAGAUUACGGACGGAAGUUUUCGGAUGGAAGGCUGUAAUUCUUAGUGGCGGACGGGUGAGUAACGCGUGGGCAACCUGCACUAUACAGGGGGAUAGCAGCUGGAAACGGCUGGUAAGACCGCAUAAGUCGGCGAGACCGCAUGGUUUUGCCGGGAAAUGAGCAAUCAGGUAUAGGAUGGGCCCGCGUCCGAUUAGCCAGUUGGCAGGGUAAAAGCCUACCAAAGCAACGAUCGGUAGCCGGACUGAGAGGUCGGACGGCCACAGUGGGACUGAGACACGGCCCAAACUCCUACGGGAGGCAGCAGUGGGGGAUAUUGCACAAUGGAGGAAGCUCUGAUGCAGCGACGCCGCGUGAGUGAAGAAGUAUUUCGGUAUGUAAAGCUCUAUCAGCAGGGAAGAUGAUGACGGUACCUGACGAAGAAGCCCCGGCUAACUACGUG
rnacentral:rRNA from 1 species